rnacentral:rRNA from 1 species
GACGAACGCUGGCGGCGUGCUUAACACAUGCAAGUCGAACGGAAAGGCCCUGCUUUUGUGGGGUGCUCGAGUGGCGAACGGGUGAGUGACACGUGAGUAACCUGCCCUUGACUUUGGGAUAACUUCAGGAAACUGGGGCUAAUACCGGAUAGGAGCUCCUGCUGCAUGGUGGGGGUUGGAAAGUUUCGGCGGUUGGGGAUGGACUCGCGGCUUAUCAGCUUGUUGGUGGGGUAGUGGCUUACCAAGGCUUUGACGGGUAGCCGGCCUGAGAGGGUGACCGGCCACAUGGGGACUGAGAUACGGACCAGACGCCUACGGGAGGCAGAAGUGGGGAAUAUUGCACAAUGGGCGGAAGCCUGAUGCAGCAACGCCGCGUGCGGGAUGACGGCCUUCGGGUUGUAAACCGCUUUCGCCUGUGACGAAGCGUGAGUGACGGUAAUGGGUAAAGAAGCACCGGCUAACUACGUG